rnacentral:lncRNA from 1 species
GGCUGCCUGGAGACUGCGGAGCUGGGAGCAGGGACUAGGCAGGGGUCGGGCUGAGCUCACAGGGAUCUUUGCUUAUCCAGGGGGAGAGGUUUUCUGCAGGAAGACUUAGGACUGCGAGUGGGGCUUGGAUUUUUGGGAUUCCAGCCCGGGAGGGUGGCUUCCUGUGAGUCCUGGGCCACUCCUUGGGUAGCCCACAUGCCCCAUUUUAUGCGGCCGUUAAGACAUCUGGACUCUGUCCCAUGGCUGCUGGAGGCAUCUGCCUGCCUCUCCCGUCUGUCUCUCCUGUCCUGUCUCUGGGACAAGAGGGGGUUGGGGUAGCGGCCUGCGCAGUCUCUAAUAGCAGGGAGGGUCCCCAGGGCACCCUCCCCUCAGCCUCCAGGAAUAAGUGCAUCAGCUUCCCCUCCUCCCUACCCCGGGGCCUCGAGGUGGGGCCCCCAAGAUUGUUUUCGGCUCAGCCCUCGCACAGAGCAUGAGGCUGAUCUUAGCAGUGGUCUCUGGCCACCCCAGACCCCUCACCCUGCCCCAGGGACACACAAGGACCUGGUCUUGGCUCCUAAUGGAAGCCCCCAAGCUGGCCCAGCGUCCUCACCAGCCACCCAGCUCUGCCCUCUGCUCAGGCUCUCAGAGCCACAGCCCCCGAAGCUCUUCCCUUCAUAGAUGAUAAUACUUUCUCUUCCUAUCUGUGCGAUUUUUAUUAACUUAAAAUUUUUUGUGGCAUUUCUCCAUUUGUGGCAUAUUUUCAAUUCCCCUGAAAUGAUCUGCUUACAGUCCCUGCUGCAGUCCUGUGCCUCCCCCGGGCCCUCCUGCCUCCCUGGAUAAGGGCCCCUAAGGAUUACCAGCAGAUAACCAGACCUCCCGUGUCAGAGUGCCUGGCCUUCAUCACAGUGACCAGUCCCCUCUGCACAGAGCCACACAUUCCUGGGAGGGAG